GGCCCUUAGAUAUGAUGCGGCUGCGCGAACUGAUUAGAAGCUUGCUUCUAUGACGUUAGCGGCGGACGGGUGAGUAACACGUGGGCAACCUGCCUGUAAGACUGGGAUAACUUCGGGAAACCGAAGCUAAUACCGGAUAGGAUCUUCUCCUUCAUGGGAGAUGAUUGAAAGAUGGUUUCGGCUAUCACUUACAGAUGGGCCCGCGGUGCAUUAGCUAGUUGGUGAGGUAACGGCUCACCAAGGCAACGAUGCAUAGCCGACCUGAGAGGGUGAUCGGCCACACUGGGACUGAGACACGGCCCAGACUCCUACGGGAGGCAGCAGUAGGGAAUCUUCCGCAAUGGACGAAAGUCUGACGGAGCAACGCCGCGUGAGUGAUGAAGGCUUUCGGGUCGUAAAACUCUGUUGUUAGGGAAGAACAAGUACGAGAGUAACUGCUCGUACCUUGACGGUACCUAACCAGAAAGCCACGGCUAACUACGUGCCAGCAGCCGCGGUAAUACGUAGGUGGCAAGCGUUAUCCGGAAUUAUUGGGCGUAAAGCGCGCGCAGGCGGUUUCUUAAGUCUGAUGUGAAAGCCCACGGCUCAACCGUGGAGGGUCAUUGGAAACUGGGGAACUUGAGUGCAGAAGAGAAAAGCGGAAUUCCACGUGUAGCGGUGAAAUGCGUAGAGAUGUGGAGGAACACCAGUGGCGAAGGCGGCUUUUUGGUCUGUAACUGACGCUGAGGCGCGAAAGCGUGGGGAGCAAACAGGAUUAGAUACCCUGGUAGUCCACGCCGUAAACGAUGAGUGCUAAGUGUUAGAGGGUUUCCGCCCUUUAGUGCUGCAGCUAACGCAUUAAGCACUCCGCCUGGGGAGUACGGUCGCAAGACUGAAACUCCAAGGAAUUGACGGGGGCCCCGCAACAAGCGGUGGAGCAUGUGGGUUUAUUCGAAGCAACGCGAAGAAACUUACAAGGUCUUGACAUCCCUCUGACAAACUCUAGAGAAUAGAGAGUCCCCU
rnacentral:rRNA from 2 species